AAUGAACGCUGGCGGCGCGCCUAACACAUGCAAGUCGAGCGCGAAAGUUCCUUCGGGAAUGAGUAGAGCGGCGGACGGGUGAGUAACACGUGAGAAUUUGCCCUUUAGUGAGGAAUACCCCUGAGAAAUUAGGGUUAAUACCGCAUACGUUCCUUCGGGAAGAAAGGUGGCCUCUUUGCUGCCGCUAAAGGAUAAGCUUGCGUUCUAUUAGCUAGUUGGUGAGGUAAUGGCUCACCAAGGCGAUGAUGGAUAGCCGGCCUGAGAGGGUGAACGGCCACACUGGAACUUAGACACGGUCCAGACUCCUACGGGAGGCAGCAGUGGGGAAUAUUGCGCAAUGGGCGAAAGCCUGACGCAGCGACGCCGCGUGGAGGAUGAAGGUCUUAGGAUUGUAAACUCCUGUUAAGUGGGAAGAAAGACUCGCUUUUAAUAGAAGCGAGGGAUGACUGUACCAUUAGAGAAAGCACCGGCUAACUUCGUGCCAGCCGCCGCGGUAA
rnacentral:rRNA from 1 species